rnacentral:rRNA from 1 species
GACGAACGCUGGCGGCGUGCUUAACACAUGCAAGUCGAACGGUGAAGGGAUCAGCUUGCUGGUUCUGGAUGAGUGGCGAACGGGUGAGUAACACGUGAGUAACCUGCCCCCUUCUUCUGGAUAACCGCAUGAAAGUGUGGCUAAUACGGGAUAUUCUGGGUCUGUCGCAUGAUGGGUCUGGGAAAGAUAUUGUUUCGGUGGGGGAUGGGCUCGCGGCCUAUCAGCUUGUUGGUGGGGUGAUGGCCUACCAAGGCGGUGACGGGUAGCCGGCCUGAGAGGGUGGACGGUCACACUGGGACUGAGACACGGCCCAGACUCCUACGGGAGGCAGCAGUGGGGAAUAUUGCACAAUGGGCGCAAGCCUGAUGCAGCGACGCCGCGUGAGGGAUGGAGGCCUUCGGGGUGUAAACCUCUUUCGCCAGUGAAGCAGGCCUGCUCCUUGUGGGUGGGUUGACGGUAGCUGGAGAAGAAGCGCCGGCUAACUACGUG